rnacentral:rRNA from 1 species
GUGUCCAGAUUAGCCAUGCAUGUCUAAGUAUAAACGACUCUAUACUGUGAAACUGCGAAUGGCUCAUUAUAUCAGUUAUAGUUUAUUUGAUAGUCCCUACUACUUGGAUAACCGUAGUAAUUCUAGAGCUAAUACAUGCAUCAACUCCCAACUGCUUCGGCGGACGGGAUGUAUUUAUUAGAUGGAAACCAAUACCGAGUUUUCUCGGUUUUUGUGGUGAAUCAUAGUAACUGUGCGAAUCGACUUCGGUCGAUGGUUCAUUCAAGUUUCUGCCCUAUCAGCUUCGGAUGGUAGGGUAUUGGCCUACCAUGGCUUUAACGGGUAACGGAGAAUUGGGGUUCGAUUCCGGAGAGGGAGCCUGAGAAACGGCUACCACAUCCAAGGAAGGCAGCAGGCGCGUAAAUUACCCAAUCCUGACAUAGGGAGGUAGUGACAAUAAAUAACAAUGCUAGGCUUUUAAAGUCCGGCAAUUGGAAUGAGAACAAUUUAAAUCCCUUAUC